GACAGAGGGUGCAAACGUUGUUCGGAAUUACUGGGCGUAAAGCGCGUGUAGGCUGCUCUGCAAGUCGGGUGUGAAAGCCCCGGGCUCAACCUGGGAAGUGCACUCGAAACUGCAGAGCUCGAGUCCUGGAGAGGAAGGCGGAAUUCUCGGUGUAGAGGUGAAAUUCGUAGAUAUCGAGAGGAACACCGGUGGCGAAGGCGGCCCUCUGGACAGUGACUGACGCUGAGACGCGAAAGCGUGGGGAGCAAACAGG
rnacentral:rRNA from 1 species